GGGUCAGUAGGUUGGUCGUGCCACCGGUACGUACUGGUCUCACUGAUUCCUCCUUCCUGAAGAACCGUAAUGCCAUUAAUUUGGUGUUGCGGGGAAACAGGACUGUUACUUUGAAGAAAUUAGCUUGUUUAAAGCAAGCUAACGCUUGAAUACAUUAGCAUGGAAUAAUGAAAUAGGACGAUCGAUCCUAUUUUGUUGGUUUCUAGGAUUGACGUA
rnacentral:rRNA from 1 species